rnacentral:rRNA from 1 species
CCUACGGGAGGCUGCAGUGGGGAAUAUUGCACAAUGGGCGCAAGCCUGAUGCAGCCAUGCCGCGUGUGUGAAGAAGGCCUUCGGGUUGUAAAGCACUUUCAGCGGGGAGGAAGGCGGUGAGGUUAAUAACCUCAUCGAUUGACGUUACCCGCAGAAGAAGCACCGGCUAACUCCGUGGCCAGCAGCCGCGGUAAUACGGAGGGUGCAAGCGUUAAUCGGAAUUACUGGGCGUAAAGCGCACGCAGGCGGUCUGUCAAGUCGGAUGUGAAAUCCCCGGGCUCAACCUGGGAACUGCAUUCGAAACUGGCAGGCUAGAGUCUUGUAGAGGGGGGUAGAAUUCCGGGUGUAGCGGUGAAAUGCGUAGAGAUCUGGAGGAAUACCGGUGGCGAAGGCGGCCCCCUGGACAAAGACUGACGCUCAGGUGCGAAAGCGUGGGGAGCAAACAGGAUUAGAUACCCGAGUAGUC